rnacentral:rRNA from 1 species
GGAUGAACGCUAGCGGCAGGCUUAACACAUGCAUUUCGAGGGGCAGCGGGGAGGAAGCUUGCUUUCUCCGCCGGCGACCGGCGCACGGGUGAGUAACACGUAUGCAACCUGCCCCUGUCAGGGGGACAACCCGCCGAAAGGCGGGCUAAACCCGCGUACAUGCCACCGGGGCAUCCCGGAGGCAGGAAAGGCUUCGGCCGGACAGGGAUGGGCAUGCGGCGCAUUAGGCAGUAGGCGGGGUAACGGCCCACCUAACCGACGAUGCGUAGGGGUUCUGAGAGGAAGGUCCCCCACACUGGUACUGAGACACGGACCAGACUCCUACGGGAGGCAGCAGUGAGGAAUAUUGGUCAAUGGUCGGGAGACUGAACCAGCCAAGCCGCGUGAGGGAGGAAGGUACAGAGUAUCGUAAACCUCUUUUGUCAGGGAACAAAGGCGGGGACGUGUCCCCGGAUGAGUGUACCUGAAGAAAAAGCAUCGGCUAACUCCGUGCCAGCAGCCGCGGUAAUACGGAGGAUGCGAGCGUUAUCCGGAUUUAUUGGGUUUAAAGGGUGCGCAGGCGGUCUGUUAAGUCAGCGGUCAAAGCCCGGGGCUCAACCCCGGCCCGCCGUUGAAACUGGCAGUCUCGAGUUGGAGAGAAGUAUGCGGAAUGCGCGGUGUAGCGGUGAAAUGCAUAGAUAUCGCGCAGAACUCCGAUUGCGAAGGCAGCAUGCCGGCUCCACACUGACGCUGAGGCACGAAAGCGUGGGUAUCGAACAGGAUUAGAUACCCUGGUAGUCCACGCAGUAAACGAUGAAUGCUGGCUGUCCGGGGGGAUUGACCCCUGGGUGGCGAAGCGAAAGCGAUAAGCAUUCCACCUGGGGAGUACGCCGGCAACGGUGAAACUCAAAGGAAUUGACGGGGGCCCGCACAAGCGGAGGAACAUGUGGUUUAAUUCGAUGAUACGCGAGGAACCUUACCCGGGCUCAAACGGGGAGUGACUCAGGCAGAGACGCCUGUUUCCCACGGGACACUCCCCGAGGUGCUGCAUGGUUGUCGUCAGCUCGUGCCGUGAGGUGUCGGCUUAAGUGCCAUAACGAGCGCAACCCCCGCGUGCAGUUGCUAACAGAUAACGCUGAGGACUCUGCACGGACUGCCGGCGCAAGCCGCGAGGAAGGCGGGGAUGACGUCAAAUCAGCACGGCCCUUACGUCCGGGGCGACACACGUGUUACAAUGGGUGGUACAGCGGGAAGCCAGGCGGCGACGCCGAGCGGAACCCGAAAUCCACUCUCAGUUCGGAUCGGAGUCUGCAACCCGACUCCGUGAAGCUGGAUUCGCUAGUAAUCGCGCAUCAGCCAUGGCGCGGUGAAUACGUUC